rnacentral:rRNA from 1 species
AUUGAACGCUGGCGGAAUGCUUUACACAUGCAAGUCGAGCGGCAGCGCGGCCUUCGGGCUGGCGGCGAGCGGCGAACGGGUGAGUAAUGCAUCGGAACAUGCCCAGUCGUGGGGGAUAACACUUCGAAAGAAGUGCUAAUACCGCAUACGUCCUGAGGGGGAAAGCGGGGGAUCGCAAGACCUCGCGCGAUUGGAGUGGCCGAUGUCAGAUUAGCUAGUUGGUGGGGUAAAGGCCUACCAAGGCGACGAUCUGUAGCUGGUCUGAGAGGAUGAUCAGCCACACUGCGACUGAGACACGGCCCAGACUCCUACGGGAGGCAGCAGUGGGGAAUUUUGGACAAUGGGGGCAACCCUGAUCCAGCCAUUCCGCGUGAGUGAAGAAGGCCUUCGGGUUGUAAAGCUCUUUCGGCAGGAACGAAACGGUGGGCUCUAACAUAGUCCGCUAAUGACGGUACCUGAAGAAGAAGCACCGGCUAACUACGUG